GAAUUUUUCGGAGCUCGUAUGGAGGGUUUUGAGGGGAUCGAUCGGCGGGCACGGAUAAAGCCUGUUUGGGAUACCAAUUUAAGUGAGGAAAUGUUUUAUUUAUAAAUUCAAAUUCUUUUCCUUUUCUUUCCCAAAAUCGCCGAUCCCUAACUCAUUCCUUCCCCGAUCUCCCCGAUCUCCCCUGCUCGAAGCCGCGCCCUUCUCCCCUCUCUUCUUCCUGAUCUCUCCUCUGUGCUCUUUCUCGCGGAUGAGCGAUGCCACAGGAUUAGGGUUCCAGCUCCGGCGAUCUUUCCUCGCCGGCAUCGGCAUCUAUUGAGCUUUGAUCCAGCCGUAGACCUUCUCUCUCGCGGAUAGUCCGACAACCUCUCGGUGGCUAGGGCACGGCGAGGAGCCGGAUCUUGCAUCCUCUUCAACCGGUAGACCUUCCCUUUCCCCUCUUCUGGUUUCCUUCAUCCCGGUUCUCUUUGAUCUUACCCAAUUAUUCCUGCCGAGCCCUAGCUCUGUUCCAGUGUCGUUGCCGACCUUGAAGGGAGGGGAGGUUCUGUGAAGGUGAUCUUGGAUCCCUUCUAUGUUGCUGUUGAUUGAGGUCUUGGUUAAAUUGGGGAAGAACUCCAGCAGAGGUUGCUGUGGGUUCUCUGAUCCAGCAAGGAGACUACCUCUCACUGUGUACACAACAAGGGCUUGGAUCAGUGAGGUGUUCUUGAUUUCGGAAGCAAUCCAUCCAGCCAGCUCUGUUGGUUUCCAGCAGCUUACUUUAUUCCAGCAGAGGUUGUAUAUUAGGUUGAGGCCGUCGGGAGAGAUUCCAGUCGCUAGCCCCUUUAUCGAGAGGAUUUCCUAUUGUCGGGAUCUGUUUUGUUUUUGCAUCUUAUAUACUUGUGAUGUGGGUUUGUAUUGUGGACUUUAUAUCGAACACUUGGGUUUACUCCUUUUGGUUUCCGCUGCGGAUGUAUUUUCAUUACUUCAUGGAUUUUGUUUUUCUUCGUUGUAGUCGAGUAGGAUGUUUACAUAUAUCUUCGAGAUUCUAUAUCGUCUUUCCUUUUUAAACUGCGUGGAUUGAUCAUAUUAU